rnacentral:rRNA from 1 species
UACGGAGGGGGCUAGCGUUGUUCGGAAUUACUGGGCGUAAAGGGCGCGUAGGCGGCGCGAUAAGUUGGGCGUGAAAGGCCCGGGCUCAACCCGGGGACUGCGCUUGAUACUGUCGCGCUGUGAGUCCGGGAGAGGAUGGCGGAAUUCCCAGUGUAGAGGUGAAAUUCGUAGAUAUUGGGAAGAACACCGGUGGCGAAGGCGGCCAUCUGGACCGGCACUGACGCUGAGGCGCGAAAGCGUGGGGAGCGAACAGG